AGUUAGGCUGCCAAGCCUUGUUUGGAGGAAGUCCAGCUAUGAAGGGAGUUGCCUUAUUCUUCAUAGCUCAGUUCAGAAAAAAACCAGGCAGCAGCCUGAGUAGUUUAAAAAUAAGCCUUAUUUAUUAUCAUGCAUUGGUUCACAGCAGCAGUAGCAGUAAAAACUAUGCAGGCAAAACAGUGUUUUGGAUUUGAAGGGGACACCUCUAAACCCUAGAAAUUAAUAAAUGGUAGGAUUUGGAUGAUUUGAAAUGAUAGAAAGGCCUCUAGCGGGCUUCAGCUUGCACGGGGCAGGAGCCUAGUGAGAUUUCUUUUGUAUUAUUUCUUUGCACCAUCACUGUGUGUGACCUUAAAGAAGAGGUUCCUGCCCCGAGGGGCUUACAAUCUUUAUUUUGACACAGGGAGGCAAACGUGAUAGGCUGAGUUCCAGGGUGAAUCCUGAGUCCUGCUGUGAGACAUAAGCCAGCGUCUCUGCGUUUAGGCUUUCAGACAUUUCCCAUCUGUAACCUCUUUCUCUGUUUUUAUUUUCCUUUCUGUCUGCCAGGUCCAAAGCCAGGUCGCACACAGAGGCUGCUGUGGCUCGGGGAAGAAGGAGAAACCGCCAUGGAAGUUGUGGUCAAUUAAUUCCAUGGGGAAUCCAUUCCCCACGUGUGGCAGGAGGUCAUGGCGAAACAGGACUGGGGUGGGGGAGGGAACAGGCCCGUCUCAACCCAGCCCCUCACCCCACUACUUCCGAGCCAGGGGUUGGGCCGUCAUGUGCCCAGGCAGGAGCAGCGAGCGUCAGCAGUCAGUGGUGACUAUCAGCAUCGCCCUUGAGCCAGUGCCACCAACUGGGCUCAUCCACUUCAGCCCCGACUGGGCUAAGUGAGCUGGGUAGCACUUCCAGAGACCACCUUCUGCACAGGAACAGGUCAAAGUGCUGUGGACUCACAGCUUAGAGUUGUGAGCACCGGAUUCACUUCCACAAGAAGACAGUCGUCGCACAGCAGAGUACAGCAGACUCUAGCAGAGUAUAUAAACAACUCGGAGAGCAGCUCUGUAGAAUAUCUUCUUUUAUUCUAUCUACAACUAUACAAACUAUAUACAGAGCUUAAUAGGUCUAUGCAUAAAUAAAUGCAGCACUGCACUGAGUGUCUGCAGCUGCUCUUAGCAGCAACCUUAUCUCUACACACGAUCUCUAACACUCAGUCUCUCUCUCUCUCCGACACUGACUGACUGACUGACUGACUUGGUGCUGGAGCAAAAUAAGUAGAGAGCAGAACACGCCUCCUCCUCUCUGGAGAAUCAGCAGACUCCUCAGGAGAUUCUUGGAUAUGGGAGGGGUGAAAUCUCAUCAGUGAUGUGGGCAUGGGCAGCAUACAAGGGCGCUUGUUCUGCCUACCUCCUUCCCUGC